GGAGAGGUGGCUGAGCGGUUGAAAGCGGCGGCCUCGAAAGCCGUUGUAGGGCUUGUCCCUACCGGGGGUUCAAAUCCCUCCCUCUCCG
rnacentral:tRNA from 1 species